rnacentral:miRNA from 1 species
UGCAUUCGUGUGGACUCUGUGCAUG